UUCUUCAACAGAGAAAAUGUCAGCUGUGCUUUCCUCACAGACAGUUCUGCUGCCCUCUAACACAGUGAAACUACCUCUGAAACGCAAUGAGCUAUUUCCUCCUCUCGGAUAAACUAGAUCCAAAUGUCUCCUGGGGCAAGGACACAAUCUUCCAGGGGCUGCCCUUUAUCUUCCAUGGGAACAGUUGGUACUCUCGCUGAAUGUAAUUCACCUGGUUGUUUUCCAUACCUCUGCUCCAUAAGCAGUUCCGCUCGGGCAGUCUCUCAGCACUGAUCACUUGACAACGGAUGGAGCUGCUGUACUUUUGGUGAACGAAGACCAAGCAAAAAAAUACAAGGCUUAUAACUGUGCACAUUCACUGAUGUGUCAAGGAAUGGCUUCCCCUUGUUAUUCAAGCAGAGGCAUGCAUUUCUCCAGAAGGACACCUGUGAGCGGUAGAGGAAUGCCAGACCCAGCGCACGUCUAGGACAGCCAGGCGCCAUGCCUGGUUCCUGCCAACAUGAGGACUUCUUCGGCAGAAAGGUACUUUGCUAUGAGCAUAAAGGUCAUUUAUACCUGCUGCAAGACCUCUGUGGAGUCUUAAUACAAAUGACGAUCUCAACCCUUCUUGAGGGCUGAGAGUCAUCACACUAAAAUUUAAAAGAUAAAUUACGCCUUACCACAAAAUGGUGCCAAAUACAGCACAUGCAAGCAUCUAAGUCUGUGCAGAAAGUAGAACAGUGUUAUGUUGGGCAGGAAUGAAAAAAAGAAACAAGCUAAUCUCUAAUGAAAUUGGAAAAGAAAAUAGCCGAAGGACUUUUUCUCUCUGAGUUUCAUGGUAAAUACCACUCAGUUUUUGGUAUCAUUAAUAUCUUAUUAUUAUGACUGCUAUUAAGC